rnacentral:rRNA from 1 species
CCCCUAGAUGUUCUGGGCCGCACGCGCGCUACACUGAACAGUUCAACAAGUCUUAACCUUGGCCGAUAGGUCUGGGUAAUCUUUGAACGCUGUUCGUGAUUGGGAUAGACCUUUGCAAAUAUGGGUCUUCAACGAGGAAUUCCUAGUAAACGCAAGUCAUCAGCUUGCAUUGAUUACGUCCCUGCCCUUUGUACACACCGCCCGUCGCACCUACCGAUUGAAUGGUCCGGUGAAAUCUCGGGACGGCGGCUUGGUCGCUUGCGUCCGACUGCUGAAACUUGAUUAAACCAUAUCAUUUAGAGGAAGGUGAAGUCGUAACA